rnacentral:rRNA from 1 species
UACGGGGGGGCAAGCGUUGUUCGGAAUUACUGGGCGUAAAGGCUCGUAGGCGGCCAACUAAGUCAGACGUGAAAUCCCUCGGCUUAACCGGGGAACUGCGUCUGAUACUGGAUGGCUUGAGGUUGGGAGAGGAUGCGGAAUUCCAGGUGUAGCGGUGGAAAUCGCGUAGAUAUCUGGAGGAACACCGGUGGCGAAGGCGGCAUCCCUGGACCA